rnacentral:rRNA from 1 species
GGACCGGGGGCCCGCAACAAGGCGGUGGAGCAUGUUGGUUUAAUUCGAAGCAACGCGAAGAACCUUUACCAGGUUCUUGACACUCCGAUGCUUAUUCUAGAGAUAGAAAGUUACUUCGGUACAUCGGUGACAGGUGGUGCAUGGUUGUCGUCAGCUCGUGUCGUGAGAUGUUGGGUUAAGUCCCGCAACGAGCGCAACCCCUAUUGUUAGUUGCCAUCAUUCAGUUGGGCACUCUAGCGAGACUGCCGGUAAUAAACCGGAGGAAGGUGGGAUGACGUCAAAUCAUCAUGCCCCUUAUGACCUGGGCUACACACGUGCUACAAUGGUUGGUACAACGAGUUGCGAGUCGGUGACGGCGAGCUAAUCUCUUAAAGCCAAUCUCAGUUCGGAUUGUAGGCUGCAACUCGCCUACAUGAAGUCGGAAUCGCUAGUAAUCGCGGAUCAGCACGCCGCGGUCGAAUACGUUCCGGCCUU